AACGAACGCUGGCGGCAGGCCUAAAACAUGCAAGUCGAACGCCCUAGCAAUAGGGAGUGGCGCACGGGUGAGUAACGCGUGGGAACGUGCCCUUCAGUACGGAACAACGUCGGGAAACUGACGCUAAUACCGUAUAAUAUCUCCGGAUCAAAGAUUUAUCGCUGAAGGAUCGGCCCGCGUCUGAUUAGCUAGUUGGUGAGGUAAUGGCUCACCAAGGCUACGAUCAGUAGCUGGUCUGAGAGGAUGAUCAGCCACACUGGGACUGAGACACGGCCCAGACUCCUACGGGAGGCAGCAGUUAGGAAUAUUGGACAAUGGGCGAAAGCCUGAUCCAGCCAUGCCGCGUGUGUGAUGAAGGCCUUAGGGUUGUAAAGCACUUUCGUUGGGGAUGAUAAUGACCGUACCCAAAGAAGAAGCCACGGCUAAAUUCGUGCCAGCCGCCGCAGUAA
rnacentral:rRNA from 1 species